rnacentral:rRNA from 1 species
CCCUUAGAUGUUCUGGGCUGCACGCGCGCUACACUGAUACUUUCAGCGAGUCCACCACCUUGCCUGGGAGGGUGGGGUAACCUCUGGAAAGUGCAUCGUGAUGGGGAUCGAUUAUUGUAAUUAUUAAUCUUCAACGAGGAAUUCCUAGUAAGCAUGUGUCAUCAGCCCGUGCUGAUUACGUCCCUGCCCUUUGUACACACCGCCCGUCGCACCUACCGAUUGAAUGGUCCGGUGAAAUCUCCGGACUGGCGUGAGUCGGAGCAAUCUGACAAACACCGGAAAGUUGAUUAAACCUUACCAUUUAGAGGAAGGUGAAGUCGUAACA